rnacentral:lncRNA from 1 species
GGCACACAAGGUGUGUAUUCUCUACUUACAGGUUUUUGUUUGUUUUGGCUUUCAUCCACCUUAUCUUGGCUUACCAUAGUUUUUUGCCUUGGUUCUGGUGUGGACGCAACUAACCCUUAUUCGUAUUGAACCGUGAUUGCAUGAAGCUGUUCUCUUGGGUUAGUUUUCGUGUUGCUGGGUAAGCUACCUUCUGGUCUUUCUGAUAUCAGCUUGUCAAGCUGACCUAUUUGAGUCUUUAGACCUUGAAUCGA